rnacentral:rRNA from 1 species
AUGACCUCGGAUCAGGUAGGAUACCCGCUGAA